UACGGAAGGCAGCAGUGGGGAAUAUUGCACAAUGGGCGAAAGCCUGAUGCAGCUAUGCCGCGUGUAUGAAGAAGGCCUUAGGGUUGUAAAGUACUUUCAUCGGGGAGGAAAAACAAAACUAAUAAUUUUAUUUCUUGACGUUACCCGAAAAAGAAGCACCGGCUAACUCCGUGCCAGCAGCCGCGGUAAUACGGAGGGUGCUAGCGUUAAUCAGAAUUACUGGGCGUAAAGAGCACGUAGGUGGUUUUUUUAAGUCAGAUGUGAAAUCCCUGGGCUUAACCUAGGGACUGCAUUUUGAAACUGAAAUACUAGAGUAUCGUAGAGGGAGGUAGAAUUCUAGGUGUAGCGGUGAAAUGCGUAGAUAUCUGGAGGAAUACCUGUGGCGAAAGCGGCCUCCUAAACGAAUACUGACACUGAGGUGCGAAAGCGUGGGGAGCAAACAGGGAUUAGAUACC
rnacentral:rRNA from 1 species